AGAGUUUGAUCCUGGCUCAGGAUGAACGCUGGCGGCGUGCCUAACACAUGCAAGUCGAGCGGGUGUACCCCUUCGGGGGCUACACUAGCGGCGGACGGGUGAGUAACGCGUGGGUAAUCUGCCUGACACUCGCGAAUACCGAUGAGAAAUCAUCAUUAAUACGCGAUACGGUUCAGCUGCCUCCUGGCAGUUGAAAGAAA
rnacentral:rRNA from 1 species